UAGCUCUUGUCCCCCAGCCCGUUGGUGCCGCCAUUGGGAUCUCCCCAGCCCCCACUCACCAUGGCCAUCGCUUGGUUACCGAACCGCCACAGAGGAAAAUGGGACAGGCAGCCAAGAUUUCAGGCUGCUGUCAAGAUCUUCCCUCCGUCCAACGAGGCGGAGAGCGCAGGCACAGCUGCCCUAUUCUGCUGUAAUCCACUCGGCGGCGGCGGCAUUGUGACCCACAAUGGAGAUAUUCCACGUCGAGCGGUGCGACCUGGCGUCCACGCGACGGCGGGAUCCGAGAGCCUUUUCGAGGCUCGGCCGGGGGACGUGGGAGCGCCUGCCCUCACAACACGAGUAGAUCUCCAACACAAGGAAGUGCUUUCUCUCUCUAUCCUCCCAGCUCGGCGCAGCACCGCUGCCUGGCUGUGACCGCGCCGCUGCUGCUGCUUGUGAGAGAUUAAAAUAAAAAUCAAUCGGGAGCGAGCGUCCGACUCCUCA